UACGAAGGGGGCUAGCGUUGUUCGGAAUUACUGGGCGUAAAGCGUGCGCAGGCGGUUCUCCAAGUCAGUGGUGAAAGCCCGGAGCUCAACUGCGGAACUGCCAUUGAAACUGUAGAGCUAGAGUACGAGAGAGGUGAGUGGAAUUCCCAGUGUAGAGGUGAAAUUCGUAGAUAUUGGGAAGAACACCGGUGGCGAAGGCGGCUCACUGGCUCGUAACUGACGCUCAUGCACGACAGCGUGGGGAGCAAACAGG
rnacentral:rRNA from 1 species